CCUACGGGAGGCAGCAGUGAGGAAUAUUGGUCAAUGGGCGGGAGCCUGAACCAGCCAAGCCGCGUGAGGGAAGAAGGUACAGCGUAUCGUAAACCUCUUUUGUCAGGGAACAAAGGCGGGGACUAGUCCCCGGAUGAGGGUACCUGAAGAAAAAGCAUCGGCUAACUCCGUGCCAGCAGCCGCGGUAAUACGGAGGAUGCGAGCGUUAUCCGGAAUCACUGGGCGUAAAGGGCGCGUAGGCGGUAAUAUAAGUCAGAUGUGAAAGGUGGGGGCUCAACCCCUAGAGUGCAACUGAUACUGUAUAACUUGAGUGUGAGAGAGGGAAGCGGAAUUCCUAGUGUAGCGGUGAAAUGCGUAGAUAUUAGGAGGAACACCAGUGGCGAAGGCGGCUUUCUGGCUCAUAACUGACGCUGAGGCGCGAAAGCGUGGGGAGCAAACAGGAUUAGAUACCCUUGUAGUC
rnacentral:rRNA from 1 species